CCUGGUAUAGUAUCAUGGCAAACAUACCUCGUCCUCACCGAGGAGCUUGGGGUUCGAUUCCUCAUACCAGAA